rnacentral:rRNA from 1 species
CAGCCGCCGCGGUAAUACGAAGGUCCCAAGCGUUGUUCGGAAUCACUGGGCGUAAAGGGAGCGUAGGCGGCGUGGUAAGUCAGAUGUGAAAUCCCGGGGCUCAACCCCGGAACUGCAUUUGAUACUGCCAUGCUUGAGGGUUGGAGAGGUAGCUGGAAUUCUUGGUGCAGCAGUGAAAUGCGUGGAUAUCAAGAGGAACACUCGUGGCGAAGGCGAGCUACUGGACAACAUCUGACGCUGAGGCUCGAAGGCUAGGGUAGCGAAAGGGAUUAGAGACCCGUGUAGUCCCUGUCUCUUAUAC